rnacentral:lncRNA from 1 species
AAAAUUCAAGGGGAGUUAACUUGAAAUUAUUGGAAACUUGGAGUAGCUCAUGGGGAGUGUUGAGAAUUAAUCAAAAUCAUGUGUAGGUGAGGUGAGUCGAACCGGAGACUCUAUAUGUGGACUGUUUAUUGGCUAGGGCCUAGGGUUCUGUUCACUAUAAAUUAACGGCAAAGCCGUAACUCUCAUUUUUCUUCCGUCUCAUUUCCUCCGCAGUUUUGCUAGGGUUUUGGAAGAGAAGAGAGGCAAAAGAAUUCCAAACUCAUCACCAUGAGGGCCAAGGUAACUCCUCUAUCUCCGAUAUCUAAAUUUAUCAUUUUUGAAUUGAUUUUAGUUCAUAUUUUGAAUUUACCAUUUUCCAUAAAUGGAUAACGAAAUUGAUUGUUUGAAAUUGAAUAUGAUUUUGCAGUGGAAGAAGAAGAGAAUGAGGAGGUUGAAGAGGAAGCGCCGAAAGAUGAGGCAGAGAUCCAAGUAAUUUAUCUGUUAGUCAUCGAUACCCCUCCUGCAGGCUCUCAGUACUGUUCUAGCCUUUAGGCUCUGUUUCAGUUUUCUGUAUUUUUUUUGCUUAUCGCAAGUACUUUUUCUUCGAUUCCGGAAUUCAUGCACCUCAUUUUUCUGGAAAUAUGUUCUCUUUUUUUCUUACUAUUUGUUGGUAAAUUAGAUCUGGUUAUGCUGAUAUGCUGUUUAGAAUGGGACAGUUACAUUUAAACUGUGUUAAUAAUUUCCUAGAUUGAAUACCUUUUCCAUUAAAACACAGAAAAUUUAGUGUUAGGGGGAUGAAAUUUAGCUGUCAUUGCUAGGGAUGUAAAUUUUCAGGCACAAAAUUAUUUAGGCAUAGAUAUAUAAAUUAAUUUUUGUUUGGUAGUUAAGUUUGGCCCCAAGUAAGGGCUUGCAAUGAAAAAUGUUGACAUUGAUGGAUAUACAAUAUCUUGAAGUAGAUUACUGCGAAAGAUUGCUCAUUUGGAUUUUAAACAGUUCCCUUACGGUUGGAUCAUGA